CCUACGGGACGCAGCAGUGGGGAAUAUUGCACAAUGGGGGAAACCCUGAUGCAGCGACGCCGCGUGAGCGAUGGAGUACUUCGGUAUGUAAAGCUCUGUCAGCAGGGAAGAGAAUGACGGUACCUGACCAGGAAGCCCCGGCUAACUACGUGCCAGCAGCCGCGGUAAUACGUAGGGGGCAAGCGUUAUCCGGAUUUACUGGGUGUGAAGGGAGCGUAGACGGCAGUGCAAGUCCGGAGUGAAAGCCCGGGGCUCAACCCUGGGACUGCUCUGGAAACUGUAAAGCUGGAGUGCGGGAGGGGCAG
rnacentral:rRNA from 1 species